ACCUGGGUGGCUCAGUCGGUUGGGCGUCUGACUUCGGCUCAGGUCAUGAUCUCACGGUUCGUGGGUUCGAGCCCUGCAUCAGGCU
rnacentral:tRNA from 1 species